rnacentral:lncRNA from 1 species
UUAAUGAGGUGGUUAGCUCCACCCUAACCCCAGUUUAUCUUGGGGUUGUGCCCAAUUCUGAGCAUAACUUUGAACAGAUGUAGCAACAAACUUCUUGGCCAUUGGUAGCUCCUGCUUGUCUUUAAAUGCCUUGAGGAGAGACAACCUGUUUCAGCUACCUAAGAAAGGAACUUGUAGGACUGUGAAAUACAGUGACCUCAAAAGUUCAAAGCAUGAAAAGACUCUACUUCAUUGCCUCUGCUCUGGACAAACCUUGGUUCUUAGUUUUCCUGGUGGUGAUGAAAAAAUCAACCAAAAUCAAUACCGGUGGAAUAAGGACCUCAACAGGACUCACAUCUAGGAUUCUGAUGCACUUGAGAGCUCAUCAGUCUCGCCCUGCCCCUUCCCCCCCCGCCCCCUCCAUGUUUUGCAAGGUCAGAUGAA